CGGCCGCGUCGACGAUGGAUACUCGCUGUUGGCGAUAUACUGUCAGCGGCCAAGCGAAAGCAUUAAGUAUCCCACCUGGGGAGUACGCCGGCAACGGUGAAACUCAAAGGAAUUGACGGGGGCCCGCACAAGCGGCGGAGCAUGUGGAUUAAUUCGAUGCAACGCGAAGAACCUUACCUAGGGCUUGACAUAUAGAGGAUCGCUACAGAGAUGUGGUUUCCCUUGUGGCUUCUAUACAGGUGGUGCAUGGUUGUCG
rnacentral:rRNA from 1 species